CAGUAGCCGCGGGAAUACGAAGGGUGCAAGCGUUACUCGGAAUUACUGGGCGUAAAGCGUGCGUAGGCGGGUCGUUAAGUUGGGGGUGAAAGCCCGGGGCUCAACCUCGGAAUUGCCUUCAAAACUGGCGACCUUGAGUAUGGGAGAGGUGAGUGGAACUCCGAGUGUAGAGGUGAAAUUCGUAGAUAUUCGGAAGAACACCAGUGGCGAAGGCGACUCACUGGCCCAUUACUGACGCUGAGGCUCGAAAGCGUGGGGAGCAAACAGGAUUAGAGACCCGAGUAGUCCCUGUCUCUUAUAA
rnacentral:rRNA from 1 species